rnacentral:rRNA from 1 species
GACAGAGGGUGCAAACGUUGCUCGGAAUCACUGGGCGUAAAGGGCGUGUAGGCGGGAGAGAAAGUCGGGCGUGAAAUCCCUAGGCUCAACCUAGGAACUGCACUCGAAACUUCUUUUCUUGAGUGCCGGAGAGGAAAGCGGAAUACCUGGUGUAGAGGUGAAAUUCGUAGAUAUCAGGUGGAACACCAGUGGCGAAGGCGGCUUUCUGGUCUGCUCUUGACGCUGAGGCGCGAAAGCUAGGGUAGCAAACGGG